rnacentral:rRNA from 1 species
AGAAUUGAUCUGGUCAGAACGAACGCUGGCGGCGCGUCUAAGCAUGCAAGUCGAACGGCAAGAGGUAGCAAUACCUCCUAGAGUGGCGGACUGGUGAGUAACACGUGGGUGACAUACCCUUCAGAUGGGGAUAGCUAUUAGAAAUAGUAGAUAAUACCGAAUACGAGCACAGGGGUUAGAGAUCUGUGAGGAAAGGAGCUAAGGCUCCGCUGAAGGAAUGGCCUGCGGCCCAUUAGCUAGUUGGUGAGGUAAGAGCCCACCAAGGCGAUGAUGGGUAUCCGGCCUUAGAGGGUGAACGGACACAUUGGGACUGAGAUACGGCCCAGACUCCUACGGGAGGCAGCAGCUAAGAAUAUUCCGCAAUGGACGAAAGUCUGACGGAGCGACGCCGCGUGGAUGAAGAAGGCCGGAAGGUUGUAAAAUCCUUUUGAAACUGAAGAAUAAGCGUUGUAGGGAAUGACAGCGUGGUGACAGUAGGUUUUGAAUAAGCAACGGCUAAUUACGUGCCAGCCGCAGC